GUGGCUCAUAGGACGAUGAUUUGGAGUUGGAUACAAAGUGACAAUCAAUGUGUUGGUGGUGGAAUGGCUGUUGCUGUUCUUGCAGCUCCACUGUGCUCUGUCGUCUCUCGGAGACACUGCUGCCCUUUCUACUGCUCUGAGAGCCAGCACAGACGAACAAGGACUUCAUUCUCCCCGCCCAGCCUGUAAAAGCUAAAGUUUGAUCACAAAAACCAUGCCACGAGUUUAAUCAAAGACGAGUACAUUGUGUUGGAGUGCUUCGCUCAAAGAAGAUCUACUCGCGGUGUAAGCAUAGAAGUGAAAGUACUUUGCGGACAAACUUAAACAUCCUUUCAAUCCAUAGCUUUGCUUCUCAGGUGGAAGAAGUAUAGAAGCUAUUGGAGAUCAAAAGUUCUUUACGGACACACUUAAAAAAUUCUAACGAGAAGCUCCUCUCUUUGAUUUGUGCUCUA